GUAGCCUACGGGAGGCAGCAGUGGGGAAUAUUGCACAAUGGGCGAAAGCCUGAUGCAGCAACGCCGCGUGAAGGAAGAAGGGUUUCGGCUCGUAAACUUCUAUCAACAGGGACGAAAGAAAUGACGGUACCUGAAUAAGAAGCCCCGGCUAACUACGUGCCAGCAGCCGCGGUAAUACGUAGGGGGCAAGCGUUAUCCGGAAUUAUUGGGUGUAAAGGGUGCGUAGACGGGACAGCAAGUUAGUUGUGAAAGCCCUCGGCUUAACUGAGGAACUGCAACUAAAACUAUUGUUCUUGAGUGCAGGG
rnacentral:rRNA from 1 species